AUUGAACGCUGGCGGCAUGCCUUACACAUGCAAGUCGAACGGCAGCACGGGAGCAAUCCUGGUGGCGAGUGGCGAACGGGUGAGUAAAGUAUCGGAACGUGCCCAGUCGUGGGGGAUAACGUAGCGAAAGUUACGCUAAUACCGCAUACGAUCUAUGGAUGAAAGCGGGGGAUCGCAAAACCUCGCUCGAUUGGAGCGGCCGAUAUCAGAUUAGGUAGUUGGUGGGGUAAAGGCUCACCAAGCCGACGAUCUGUAGCUGGUCUGAGAGGACGACCAGCCACACUGGGACUGAGACACGGCCCAGACUCCUACGGGAGGCAGCAGUGGGGAAUUUUGGACAAUGGGCGAAAGCCUGAUCCAGCCAUGCCGCGUGCAGGAUGAAUGCCUUCGGGUUGUAAACUGCUUUUGUACGGAACGAAAAGGUUUGGCCUAAUAAGCUGAGCUCAUGACGGUACCGUAAGAAUAAGCACCGGCUAACUACGUGCCAGCCGCCGCCGUAA
rnacentral:rRNA from 1 species